GUGCACUUACCUCAGCAGUUAGAGCAUCCUUCUAGAGAAAAUAAGUCAUGGGUUCAAAUCCCAUAGUGCACA
rnacentral:tRNA from 1 species